rnacentral:lncRNA from 1 species
GGCAAGGGUUAAGUAGUGAGUUUAGCAACUUUCUAGUAAAAAUCAGUAAAUACAGUCACAAUCUGUCUCCACCACUUAGGACCCCAAAAGUUCUUUACAGGUAUCAUGAAUUUAGAUACACAUUGAUAGGGAACAAAUACUGCUCUGCCUGAUAACUUCAUAUAUCCCCUGUACUUUACUUGCUAGUGGUAUUAUUCAGUGGUCUAACAGGUAAUUCUUAAAACUUGGUGGUGAAAAGGUCAUGGUGUUAACAAGAUUAAAUUCAUUUUGUCAUCUUAAAUGCAUUUAUUAAAAACUUAGGGCUGUGUGCGGUGGUUCACGCCUGUAAUCCCAGCACUUUGGGAGGCUGAGGUGGGUGGAUCACGAGAUCAGUAUGAACUUAGUACAGUACUAACAUGAACUAAGAGGAUGUGUUAUGGAAAUGUAAAACUUAUUCUAAAAUAUCACUGUUCUCAAAAGUCUUGGACAAGAAAGGAGAUGGGAUACAUCUCACCAAAAUCAAAGCAGAUUAUGACAUGUGUGCUAUGAAGGGAAAAAAAAAAUUGUGGGCUGGGUGCAGUGGCUCAUGCCUGUAAUCACAGAACUUUGGGAGGCCAAGGUGGGCGGAUCACUUGAGGCGGGAGUU